GGGCGCAAGCCUGAUGCAGCCAUGCCGCGUGUAUGAAGAAGGCCUUCGGGUUGUAAAGUACUUUCAGCAGUGAGGAAGUGGGUAUGUUAAUAGCAUAUUCAUUUGACGUUUAGCUGCAGAAGAAGCACCGGCUAACUCCGUGCCAGCAGCCGCGGUAAUACGGAGGGUGCGAGCGUUAAUCGGAAUUACUGGGCGUAAAGCGCAUGCAGGUGGUUUGUUAAGUCAGAUGUGAAAGCCCGGGGCUCAACCUCGGAAUUGCAUUUGAAACUGGCAAACUAGAGUACUGUAGAGGGGGUAGGAAUUUCAGGUGUAGCGGUGAAAUGCGUAGAGAUCUGAAGGAAUACCGGUGGCGAAGGCGGCCCCCUGGACAGAUACUGACACUCAGAUGCGAAAGCGUGGGGAGCAAACAGGAUUAGAUACCCUGGUAG
rnacentral:rRNA from 1 species